AAUGACAAUGACAACAGCGAAGAAGAAGUUGAUGUCAUCGGCGGCAUGGAGCGGCGAAGAGGAAGCCACAGAAGAGUUCCAAGACGACGACGAUCGAUGAUUCCCUUGUCGAGGACUUGCUGUAUCCAAUACCCUUGUCUUCUGCAAAAGACAGCACUUUUUUCUGUCCACAAUAGAGAGACCACUUAAAAGAGUUUCGGCUUCUAACUCACUAGCAUAAAUGAGGGAGAGACCAUUAUAGUGUUAGAAGACCAUUAUAGCUUGCAUCUUCUAGGGUGGAUUUCCUGUAAGUGAAUAUUGCCAAAAUGGCCCAUCUUCAGCAAAGAGUGAGACCAGGUUUACUGAUGAGACUGUCAGUCGUUAUCAUGUUCUGGAAGUCUUUCUUCAACGAGUAUUCGGUAUUGACACCAUCGUGAAACCUCUUCCACCUGCCAUGGCCUACAAUGUUUCCCGUAACUUGAACUUCUUCACACGCAUUUUCACUCAGUUCUUUGAUAAGUUUUGAUCUCUUUGUGCAUUUUAUGGGUAGCAGAGAAGAUGGAAAUAGUACAAUUUCUAUAUAACAAGACAACAUUGUCACUCUUAAAUAGUUUUGAGGAUUCCUUUUUAGUCCCCGCCCCCUUCCCUUUUCACUGAGCCUAGAGUUGUGGUAUAUCUGCAUCAUAAUGAGUAUGCUUGUGAAGCUUCUGAACCAUUUUUAAUGCAUUUGGGGUUUUCAAGUCUAUAAUUUCAUUGGAAAUAAAAGUUUUAAUGGGUUUGAUU